CAAGCACAUCGAGAGCGGACUAAAUUCCCACCAACCCGCAUACUCAAGCAAGGUGGUUCAGCAUGUGGCCAAAUGGCAAUCAACUGGGUAUCU
rnacentral:ncRNA from 10 species